UGCACUGAAAGGCCAAACAGGGGAGAAGGGAAGAGUUAACAAUGGAAGAGGGGAGGAGAGAAAAAGAAAGAGACAGGGAUGGAAAGAAUGAGAGAGAGAGAGAGAGAGAGAGAGAGAGAGAGAGAGAGAGAGAGAGAGAGAGAGAGAAGGGUGGUUAAAUAAUGGGCAACAGGGGAUUUUUUUUUAUGUUACAGAGUGCAGCAAGUGUCCAUAAAAUAGUUACAUCAUUACUGCCUGGGGUAUUAAAAUGGCAGCAUGUGAGUGGGAGUGACGUUACAAAUUGGAGAAUACAUGAAAACAUAGCGAUUUAACAGAAUCAAAUACUAAACCCAAGAGAUAUACAUGAAGUCUAUUGUAAAUACAUUUGACAUGGUAGCCAUCAUGAUGGUUAAAAAUGCUGUAGGCCAAAGGGUGAGUGAGUGGUGAGUGAUUUAAGAAGUAAAUGAGUGGUUACACAGGUGUUGCUCUGCUGAAAUAGUCCGGAAUACUCACUAUACUCACGCAGUGUCUGGGGAAUAAUGCGAAAGGAACGGUUUGACAUUUUUGGGAGAUAAGUUACUCGCUUUCUUGCCGAGAAGUAGAUAAAAAGAUUUACGUUACCUUAGCACAACGAUUGAAAACAGGGUAAAUAUGAAGCUACAGUUGGUUAGCUUAACGUUAGCUUAGCGCAAAGACUGAAAACAGGGGGGAAACAUGCUAGCUUGGCUCUGUGCAAAGGUAACAAAAUUUGCCUAACGACACCUGUAAAACUCACUAAUUUGACAUGUUAUAUCUUGUUUGUUCAAUCUGUACAAAAAACUA